UGGUGCAUCGCUGCCUGCUCUGUGUUGGUCCCCAGAUACCAUGACGAAUGUGUGGGGUCACGUCACCUUCCUGUGGUGUGCUGCUAUGGCAAAAUUUCAAUAAAGAGAGUCUUGGGUGAAAGACCGUUGACCUCUGCAACCACACUUCCCUUGUCUCUGCCUCUGCUCUUCCUGCUCCUGGAACUCAGGGACCCAGAGGCCUGGUCAUGAGAGAAGAGGCAGGUCGGGAAGCAGCGGGGUGAAAAGAAGGAGCAGAGACUUUGGAUUCACCUCUGAGGACAGUUACUCCCCAGUCUGACUUCAACUCUGCGUGUGUCUGGAGACGAACUGGGCAGGUCUGGGGCUCAGCAAGGGACGGUGGCUUCAGGGUCCCUCUGCGAGCCACAUUUCUGAUUUUGCGAAGCCUCUCUCUGCAAGACAGGAGCGGGUGAUGUUCAUUCCUUGAAGAAUGAGUCCUGGCGCGCUUGCCCUCUAGGGGCAGCCCUGCCGAUCUGAGGAUAUGAUCCUCAAUUUGCUCCUCACUGAUGUCAGGGAGCAGAUCUCCAACAAAGAGAACUCUUCCAGCUCCCAUCUCCUUGACGGAGGGGCCAUUGGCUCCAUCUUGGCUGAGCCUGGCCCUGUUUGCAUGUGCUGAGGUGUGCAGAGCCGGCUGGGACUUUUCCUUAUCCCCCAGCUGGCUUUGAGCAGUGCCAGUCAGUCGGGCCAAGGUGCCGAUGUGCAGUCUUUGAAGCAAAGACAACAGGGCAGUGUUUCCCUGGGGCCCCCCAGCUCCCAGAUAAACACGUGUGAGCCGGGUGGGAUGCAGAGCCACGCUCCACGCUGUCAGCUGGGAUUGAGCGUCGAGAUAAGAGGCUAUGACUUCCCAGUAUA